CAGUAGCCGCGGUAAUACGGAGGGUGCAAGCGUUAAUCGGAAUUACUGGGCGUAAAGCGUGCGUAGGCGGUUCGUUAAGUCUGCUGUGAAAUCCCCGGGCUCAACCUGGGAAUGGCAGUGGAUACUGGCUCGCUAGAGUGUGUCAGAGGAUGGUGGAAUUCCCGGUGUAGCGGUGAAAUGCGUAGAGAUCGGGAGGAACAUCAGUGGCGAAGGCGGCCAUCUGGGACAACACUGACGCUGAGGCACGAAAGCGUGGGGAGCAAACAGGAUUAGAUACCCGUGUAGUCCCUGUCUCUUAUAC
rnacentral:rRNA from 1 species